GACGAACGCUGGCGGCGUGCUUAACACAUGCAAGUCGAGCGGGAUCCAACCGGUGGCAACACCGGGGAAGAUCUAGCGGCGAACGGGUGAGUAACACGUGAGCAACCUGCCCCGAAGACUGGGAUAACACCGGGAAACCGGUGCUAAUACCGGAUGUCGUCAUUAGGCCGCAUGACCUGAUGAUGAAAGGAUUCAUCGCUUCGGGAGGGGCUCGCGGGCUAUCAGCUUGNGGUGGGGUAACGGCCUACCAAGGCGACGACGGCUAGCUGGUCUGAGAGGACGACCAGCCACACUGGGACUGAGACACGGCCCAGACUCCUACGGGAGGCAGCAGUGGGGAAUCUUGCGCAAUGGGCGAAAGCCUGACGCAGCGACGCCGCGUGAGGGAUGACGGCCUCGGUUGUAA
rnacentral:rRNA from 1 species